rnacentral:lncRNA from 1 species
GAACUGCGGCGGUGGUGGCUGGGCCACCAGAGGGAAGCGGGUGUGGCCCAGGCAGCGGGGGCUGGGACAGACCUGGAAAGGAGGAAGCGGGGAAGGAAGGUUGUCCUGUCGGGCUGGGGGCUCCCGGGAAUCCGGAGGCCAGCAGUGGAACCGCAAGGCUCUACAGGGCAGAUCUGCCUCCCGUGCUGUCUCAGCUACGCCGAGUCGUUGGCUCAGGGCGGAGGAUUUUCCUAUUGGCCGCGUUAUUUGAAUGGAAUGGAGGAUAGGUCGUGAAGUAGGUGCUGCUGGUUGAUCUUUCUAAGGAACUCAGAUGAACUUGGGCAUGUCAGAAUUAAUAACCUUUUAAAAGUGGGGUCUGUGUGGCCGAGGGUUUUAAUGGGUGGAACCAAGCAGAGGGGUUCACCCAAGCCAUCUUUGGGUGCUUCCAUGGGAAAGAAGGAUUUCACUGAGAAUAAUAAGUGACACCAAGGCUCAAAAGAAUGAGAGAGAAGUCUGUUGGUCUCUUGAACAGCAGGGAUUUGCUCACAGAUCUCUGGAAGUAGCCAGAAUGUGACAGGAUCUCAAAAUGAAUGGCUGCUUCAUGGAGGCUGGAACAUAAGCCUGGGACUCCCAGUAGCCAAACAUAGCUGUGCCACAAACAUGGCUGAAAUGUAGCAGUUUGGUGGAUCCGAGGUCAGUCAUUGAAAAUGUAUUGAUUGGCACCUAUUCUUUGUGAAUCAUUAUUCUGGGUUCUGGGGUCACAGGAGCAAAUGAAACAAAUGAAGUACCUGCCAUCAAUGAGCUUACAUUCUAGUAAAGAGGGACAGAAAAUGAAUACAUUUUAAAUGAAUAAAUUCAGAUACCGCUAAAUGUAGUGAAGAAAAAAAUUGGGCUAAAGAGAGCGAAAAACAAUUUCUGAAGUUACUAGCAGUGAAGGGUGGGGGAAGAGAAGAGACGGAUUUAACCAGGAAAGAUCUGAGCUGAGGGUGUAUCCAGGUUUUCUGGAACCUGAUAUUAUUACAGUUUAGAGAUUCUUCUUCAAGAAAAAGAAUUUAAAAUUACAAAUAAUUAACUUCAGGGCCUUGGAAGGGGUCCACUCAAGUGAACAGAAAAUUAUGUGCUCCUUAUAAAAUAUAUGAUUUAAAACUACAACAGUGGCUGGCCGUGGUGGCUCAUGCCUGUAAUCCCAGCACUUUGGGAGGCUGAGGCAGGUGGAUCGCGAAGUAAAGAGAUCGAGACCAACCUGGCCAACAAUGGUGAAACCCCGUCUCUACUAAAAAUACAAAAAUUAGCUGGGCGUGGUGGCAUGUGCCUGGUGUCCCAGCUACUUGGGAGGCAGAGGCAGGAGAAUCGCUUGAACCUGGGAGGUGGAGGUUGCAGUGAGCCGAGAUUGUGCCACUGCACUCCAGCCUGGCGACAGAGUGAGACGUCUC